UGUUAAAAAUUUUAUCAAUUUCUACUGUUAAAAAAUAGCAUGGUUGAUAAAAUAAUGAAACAGUUAUUUUGACAUACAGGGUCUUAUUUUUAACAAUAAAAAUGGAUGGAUUUUUUAACA
rfam:Gossypium arboreum cultivar AKA8401 contig_9114_3, whole genome shotgun sequence.